CAGGGCUCAGUUCAGCGCUCCCUGAACUGUCUGAGGAGCUGGAGUUGCUCCCUCCGCAGGCGCGUUUCUGUCUGCAGGUUUAUCCUGUUCAGUAGGUCAGGGUUUGUUACUGACAACCAUGACCUGCUGUGAGCCCUUCUGCGAGUGUGGAGCUGGGGGGCAGGAAGGGCAGCCUUAGCUGUGCCGACGCUUCGUCCUGUCAGGGCAUUUGCACGCCAAAGGCAAAGAAGAAAAAAUGUCCAAAUCAUUAAAGAACUACAUUACUAUUAAGGACUUUCUGAAGACCUUUUCCCCCGAUGUCUUCCGGUUCUUCUGCCUGCGGAGCAGCUACCGCUCAGCCAUCGACUACAGUGACAGCGCCAUGCUCCAAGCUCAGCAGCUGCUCCUGGGGCUGGGCUCUUUCCUGGAGGAUGCACGUGCCUACAUGAAGGGGCAGCUGGCCUGCGGCUCCGUCAGGGAAGCGAUGCUGUGGGAGAGGCUCUCCAGCACCAAGAGGGCCGUGAAGGCGGCCUUGGCAGAUGACUUUGACACACCCAGGGUGGUUGAUGCCAUCCUGGGCCUUACACACCACGGGAAUGGACAGCUCAGGGCGUCCCUGAAGGAACCUGGAGGGCCGAGAAGUCCUGCUGUGUUUGGUGCCAUCAUCUCUUACUUUGAACAGUUUUUUGAAACUGUUGGAAUUUCUCUGGCAAAUCAACAGUACGUUUCAGG
rnacentral:sRNA from 1 species